GAAAAGGAAGUGGAGAGGUUAAUAAUAUGUGCUUUAUUUCGUUGUUUUUGGAUUGCUUUUGAAUGACACAUGGUAAUACAGUUAUUAUUACUACUGUACAGUUACUAACCAUAUUUAUGCAUGAUAAUGGUAAAACCAUGGACCAUGGUAAUAAAACGUUAAUCAAUAUGGCAAAAACCAAUAGUUACUACAAUUUUACGAUAGUAACACCAUUGAUUUUUAUAUCUGAUGUUACUUUGGAAAUAAUGCAAUCAAAAAGACGGUAUUAGUGCCCCAGUUCAAAUUUAAAGUGGCAUCUAUUGCAUAUUUCACUGAGGUCAUUGACAUUCACAGAAUGCUUUAAGUUCGAAACAGGAUGAACUGUUUGCUAGAGAAACACUCCUAAAAUAAGAGUCUCUUCCAAAAAUCUGUUUUAUUUAAAUACCACACCCCAUCAACUUCUUUUGCCUGUGUGUUUCAUGAGAUCGAACACAUGACAUUUGCAUUGCUAAGACAAUAGUGGUUUGUUGAAAUUAAAACUCAAUUAUUUUCUCUCUCUCCUAUUUUCUCAUUAAUAAUUCACGCAAAAAACAUGAUUCACACAUGCGUAGACUAUUUCACAUGCAUGAAAUCUAAUUCACAUACACAAAAAUAUAUAUAUUCGCAAAAAAACGAUGUACAUACACAAAAUAAAAAUUAAUAUUCAUAAAAUACGUUUCACAAACGAAAAAAACAAUUCACAAAUGUAGAACUGUGUACGAAAAGUUUUAAAUUUUGAGUUUAUCAUGACUGUGAAUGUACGAAUCGUCUUUUUCGUGUGUGAAUUGCUUUGAUUUCGUGUGUGUGUGUUUUUUGAGACUUUGGUGGCAGCGCGCUUCUCCAACGUGGGUCACUCGUACGCUUUAGCCAAUCAGAUGCAAGCUUACCAUUCAACCAAUCAUAACCCGCCAAGAGCGCAGCACUCAAGGAGCUCAGCAUUGCACACCUUUUGCGCAAUCAACUGAAAUGAAGCUUCACGUCAUCAACCAAGCAUGGCGAAUGAAGUGCGGGAUAUACGUGACUCUCGUCGUGUAAUACUGUCACAGAGCAGUUGUUCUUGUGUUGCUGGGACAGCACAUUGUUGCACUACUCAGAGCUUGGCAUCAGUGAAGUUCACAGCUGUACUGAAACGGUUGAGAGCUGACACAGACCUAGAACAAUGAGGUUCUGUCUGCAAGACCCAAAGAAAGGAAGCUUGCUGAUGUAUUAAGGAGUACCUUUUAAAAGAGUGUCACCUGUAAGCUGCCUGACCUCACAGUCCUCCAAGUAGCAGAGGCGUUUAAGGACCUUGCCAGUGCUGUAGACCCUUCGGUCACCACUAUCAGGAUGUCACAUGUCAAUUCUUUGGUGGAUUUUGGCUUUGGCAGAGUUUAGUAUGGAAGUGUGCUGUCAUACCAGCAGCAACAACACACAACCUUAAUCGUUAUCAAGAUGCCCCAUAACUACAACCUCUGCAACUAUUUGGCUACAGCCUUGACACAUCUGUUUGCUUGAUAGUUAUUUAUAUUUACAUGUUUACAUUUCUGAAGUUAAGGUAGUUAUUUACAGUAUAUUACAUACAUACUUUACUGCAAUGUAAAUGUUCGAAGUAAUUUAGUUUUACAUUCAUGCAGUGCAGGCAACACUGUAUGAAAGUUAUUUACAGUAUAUUUAAAUACAUUACUGCAUUGUAAAUGUUCAAAGCCACAUGUUUACAUUCCUGCAGUGCAUGCAACACUGAAUAAAAGUUACUUACAGUAUAUUUACAUUCAUUACUGCAUUGCAAAUGUUCAAAGUCAUUUAUAUUUACAUGUUUACAUUCCUGCAGUGCAUGCAACACUAAAUAAAAGUUAUUUACAGUAUAUUUAAAUACAUUA